UCUUGUUUUAUAUAGUAUAAAGAAUUUUCUAUCAAAAUUUCACGUGAUUUGGAUAUUUCUACACCGUUAAACUUGCAAACGGCUCACUACGGCCGUUGAAAUUUAUUGAUUUUGAGCCCAUUCGAUCACUAGGCAAAUAAUAUCGAAAAAUAAUAAAAUUUAUUUUCUAAGUACUGCAAAUACUCUAGAUCAAGUUUAACGGAGCCGAUUGACGAUUCGAAAGUCGCAACAUCGAAAACGAGCUGGAAGUACGAAAGGCUCCGUACUUCCGAUAGCAUAGUAGCCUUAAUAUAUAUAUAUAUAUAUAUAUAUAUAUAUAUUUGAAAUAGUGGCUACAUGAUAUAACGAGAUUAUCCAUUCAAGAUAUUUUUUUGCUGGUCUAUUUCAGAAUGUAUAUAGUGUUAGGAUGAGCGCACAAAUAAAAGCAAUGAGGACCGUAGAGUAGAUAAGUUACAAACAUAGUAAAGUACAAUAUAACACAAGAAUUUACGUGAAAAAUUUUUUAUAAAAAAAAAAAUUACGGACGGAGAAGAGAUCGUUACUGUAUAAAAAAAGGGAGUAUAAUAUUUUGGAAGUACAAUAUGCUGUAUCGCCACUAGGAUAAAAAAAAUAAAAAAAAGUUUUUUAACGGAUUUCUUUAUUAUUAGAUCUGAUCCGUAUUGCAGAGAGCUCAGCCCAAACCUUUCGCUACCCACCACUGACAUCCAUUUUUUGCUUUACAAAUUCUUUUUAGAAACUUAUCGCCCCUCGAAGCUAUCGACAAAUCAAGGG
rnacentral:lncRNA from 1 species